ACAGUGACUUUGCCCAGCCAUGAUGAGAAGUGGAUGGAUUCUGAGUCUGUUUUGAAGUUGGCACCAACAGAAUUCGCUGACAGAUUGAAUGUGGGUGUGGAAGCGUGACUAGACACCUGCCCCUGGAAGAAGAUGAAGUUUUACCAGGAAUUGCCACUGUCCCCCAAGAAAUUGAACAAUCAACUGAAUGGAUGGAAGAAAGUCCGAGCCAGCCCAGCGGAAGGAGCAGAAGUGGAAGGAUGCUGCUGUGUGUUGACAUGGCCUCAUGGGAGACCGAGGUUUAGUUCCAGGCUCAACCUAAGAAGGACCAGGCCCUCUCUCACUAUUCACAGUCCUAGCUAAGUGGGAGGUUGGAUCAGGAAGAUGAAAAAGAUUUUGUGCUGUAAGGUGCAUCCACUGGCUGCAGAGGAGAGCAACAGAGAGACAGAAAGCGAGAAAUUCCCCCAUUAAAACACCUCGCAAGUCCAAGAAGUCAUUUGGAGCUGGUUUAUAUUACUCUGAUCACCCGCGUUGUUCUCAGUGGAGUGGAUCUUGAUUCAUUGAUUCGCCAGUAUCUUUCAUGAUUCCCGGGAGCAUCAACAGCACCAGAGAGCUGAGGUGAGGCUGAGGAUUGUGACUAAGCCAAAGCAAUGGACUCCUGGAGCCUCUGGAGCAGCCAGCAGCUACCCUGAAGAGAAGGAAACCUAGAGAUGCGGCCAGGGUGGAUCUAAAAGGAUGCUCGCCCAGAAGGCAGCCAGUCUUCUGUAGAGAACUCAAGCUUUCAGAGGCAAGGUAGCACCUCUCUACCAAUACCAAAGUGUUUACUGCUUUCUUCUACUCUCAGACACGGCUUUGUAAAAGAGCAAAGGAAGGGAGAAUGGACCAGAUGGAACACCCACAACAUAGACUGGCUUCACUGGGAAGAAGGGGGGUAUAUCCAUAAGGAGCAAGUUCCGUCACACUCCCUGCUGUGUAUGAGGUGGGAACUCCUGAAGAAGAUUAGAUUACAGAAAUACAAAGAUGGGGCCAAUCAUUUAUUCACUCACUCGCUCUGACUUUUGUGUAAUAGUUUACAGUACUUAUUUCACGUGCUUGUGCAGCCUUUGCAUUGUCCUCUCUCACACCUUUCUCGGGGUCUCCAGAUUGUUUUGUCCACCAGCCACUAACUGAGCAAGGAGGCUGCUCUUACCUCUGUGAGGAAAGCCAGGGUGAAGGCAUUUCGAGUGCUGCCUCAAGGGCAGGAAAUGGACCUUCACCUCCCUGAGAGAAGAGAGAAGACAGAAAAUGGUGGCAGUCCACAAAGAAGACCUAAGAGAAAUCCUUCCCUCUACAGGCAAGACCCUGGAGACUGAGGUGGGGUGGGCAGUAAUGAGGGUCUGUCUGACAUAGAAACAAGAAGUGGUGGCCCCUCAGAGCAGCAGGUGGGGCCCAGGGGACAGGGCUGGUGGGAGCCUGCAGUACACAAGGAGCACUUACUUCUCUGGGUGCCUGGCUUGAGCUGGGACAUGGGCACGCGCCAGGCAAAGUGCUAUUUGAGGGGCCGGAAGGCGGCGCGCUGGUUGAGAGCUCUGGACUCCCGUACGGCCAACCACGGUAGCUUGCUUUCUCAUUUUCCUUCUCUCUCUUCCUGGCUCCAUCCCUCUCUGGUCAAAUU